AUUGAACGCUGGCGGCAUGCCUUACACAUGCAAGUCGAACGGUAACAGAUCUUCGGAUGCUGACGAGUGGCCAACGGGUGAGUAAUACAUCGGAACGUGCCCGAUCGUGGGGGAUAACGAAGCGAAAGCUUUGCUAAUACCUCAGACGAUCUACGGAUGAAAGCAGGGGACCGCAAGGCCUUGCGCGAACGGAGGCGACGAUGGCAGAUUAGGUAGUUGGUGGGAUAAAAGCUUACCAAGCCGACGAUCGGUAGCUGGUGUGAGAGGACGACCAGCCACACUGGGACUGAGACACGGCCCAGACUCCUACGGGAGGCAGCAGUGGGGAAUUUUGGACAAUGGGCGAAAGCCUGAUCCAGCCAUGCCGCGUGCAGGAUGAAGGCCUUCGGGUUGUAAACUGCUUUUGUACGGAACGAAAAGACUCUGGUUAAUACCUGGGGUCCAUGACGGUACCGUAAGAAUAAGCACCGGCUAACUACGUGCCAGCCGCCGCGGUAA
rnacentral:rRNA from 1 species